rnacentral:lncRNA from 1 species
AUCUGCUUUUCUCUGAAUUCCAAUCACUGUCUACUGUUGCAGCUGAACCUGAACCUGACUUUUUCAGAUGUUGCUCACUGUCUGCUGUUGCUGGUCCCCUAUCACCUGAUCCACUGCACCACAGAGUAUGAGUUUGGGCAGGAGGGAGAGAGGGAGAUUGGAAGCACCACUGAGAGGAGUCAGAGGAAAGUGUAAGGAGACUUGUAAAAAAAGGAGGCGGUCAUGAGGAUGAAAGUCAUGUGUGAAGGAUGAUGGAACAGAAGGACUAAAGGAGUCUGACCUGGACACCCUGAUUUCCUGCUGUGUGGCCUGAAAAAGAAGCCACAGUCCCAUGGAUUCUGUUAUCGGCCACUGAGUGCAAUCCUACCUGAUCCCAUGGUCCUCACCAAGGCUGUGUCUGCUUAGGAAAUGGAGAAUGGUCCCCAAACCGCAGCAGCAAAAAUGAGUGGAAGGGUUGAGCAUUAUUUCCAGCCCUUGGUUGCUCUGGUGAUUGGUGCCUGGGAGGGGCAGGACCUCCAUCCAACAGACUGUACCAGCAGAGUGGUAAGAGGAAACCUCAGAGAUGCAUUGGACUUGGUCAGCAGACUUGAGUUCUAUGCCCAUACCAGUCACUGACUGGCUAUGACCUGAAUUGGACAAGGCAUGCCCACUCUAGACUUCAAUUGUUCCUUAUCUGGAAAAGGAAAGGAGUGCUUUGACAGUGGUUCCCAGACACCAAUUUAUAAAGAUUUCACUGGUCUGUGGCAAAAUAAUAAUAAUGGCUA